UACAGAGGUCCCAAGCGUUGUUCGGAUUUACUGGGCGUAAAGGGUGCGUAGGUGGUAAUGUAAGUCUGGCGUGAAAUCUCCGAGCUCAACUCGGAAAUGGCGUUGGAAACUGCAUUUCUAGAGGAUUGGAGGGGUGAUUGGAAUACUUGGUGUAGCAGUGAAAUGCGUAGAUAUCAAGUGGAACACCAGUGGCGAAGGCGAAUCUCUGGACAACUCCUGACACUGAGGCACGAAAGCUAGGGGAGCAAACGGG
rnacentral:rRNA from 1 species